rnacentral:rRNA from 1 species
AACGAACGCUGGCGGCAUGCCUAACACAUGCAAGUCGAACGAUGCCUUCGGGCAUAGUGGCGCACGGGUGCGUAACGCGUGGGAAUCUGCCUUUCGGUUCGGAAUAACUCAGGGAAACUUGAGCUAAUACCGGAUAACGUCGCAAGACCAAAGAUUUAUCACCGAAAGAUGAGCCCGCGUAGGAUUAGCUAGUUGGUGAGGUAAAGGCUCACCAAGGCGACGAUCCUUAGCUGGUCUGAGAGGAUGAUCAGCCACACUGGGACUGAGACACGGCCCAGACUCCUACGGGAGGCAGCAGUGGGGAAUAUUGGACAAUGGGCGAAAGCCUGAUCCAGCAAUGCCGCGUGAGUGAUGAAGGCCUUAGGGUUGUAAAGCUCUUUUACCCGGGAAGAUAAUGACAGUACCGGGAGAAUAAGCCCCGGCUAACUCCGUG